rnacentral:rRNA from 1 species
UAGCCGUAAACGAUACUCGCUAGGUGUCGGCCACGGUGCGACCGUUGUCGGUGCCGUAGGGAAGCCGUGAAGCGAGCCACCUGGGAAGUACGGCCGCAAGGCUGAAACUUAAAGGAAUUGGCGGGGGAGCACCACAACGGGUGGAGCUUGCGGUUUAAUUGGAUUCAACGCCGGAAAUCUUACCGGGACCGACAGCAAUAUGAAGGCCAGGCUGAAGACUUUGCCGGAUUAGCUGAGAGGUGGUGCAUGGCGUCAGUGACU